UGGGGAAUAUUGGACAAUGGGCGAAAGCCUGAUCCAGCAAUGCCGCGUGAGUGAUGAAGGCCUUAGGGUUGUAAAGCUCUUUUACCAGGGAUGAUAAUGACAGUACCUGGAGAAUAAGCUCCGGCUAACUCCGUGCCAGCAGCCGCGGUAAUACGGAGGGAGCUAGCGUUGUUCGGAAUUACUGGGCGUAAAGCGUACGUAGGCGGUGACUCAAGUCAGAGGUGAAAGCCUGGAGCUCAACUCCAGAACUGCCUUUGAAACUAGGUCGCUAGAAUCACGGAGAGGUGAGUGGAAUUCCGAGUGUAGAGGUGAAAUUCGUAGAUAUUGGGAAGAACACCAGUGGCGAAGGCGGCUAACUGGUCCGGUACUGACGCUGAGGUGCGAAAGCGUGGGGAGCAAACAGGAUUAGAUACCCCAGUAGUCCCUGAGCGGGCUGGCAAGGCGCAU
rnacentral:rRNA from 1 species